rnacentral:rRNA from 1 species
GACGAACGCUGGCGGCGUGCCUAAUACAUGCAAGUUGAGCGCUGAAGGUUGGUACUUGUACCAACUGGAUGAGCAGCGAACGGGUGAGUAACGCGUGGGGAAUCUGCCUUUGAGCGGGGGACAACAUUUGGAAACGAAUGCUAAUACCGCAUAAAAACUUUAAACACAAGUUUUAAGUUUGAAAGAAGCAAUUGCAUCACUCAAAGAUGAUCCCGCGUUGUAUUAGCUAGUUGGUGAGGUAAAGGCUCACCAAGGCGAUGAUACAUAGCCGACCUGAGAGGGUGAUCGGCCACAUUGGGACUGAGACACGGCCCAAACUCCUACGGGAGGCAGCAGUAGGGAAUCUUCGGCAAUAGACGAAAGUCUGACCGAGCAACGCCGCGUGAGUGAAGAAGGGUUUCGGAUCGUAAAACUCGGUUGGUAGAGAAGAACGUUGGUGAGAGUGGAAAGCUCAUCAAGUGACGGUAACUACCCAGAAAGGGACGGCUAACUACGUG